CCUACGGGGGGCAGCAGUGGGGAAUAUUGCACAAUGGGGGAAACCCUGAUGCAGCGACGCCGCGUGAGCGAUGAAGUAUUUCGGUAUGUAAAGCUCUAUCAUCAGGGAAGAAAAUGACGGUACCUGAUUAAGAAGCCUCGGCUAACUACGUGCCAGCAGCCGCGGUCAUACGUAGGGGGCAAGCGUUAUCCGGAUUUACUGGGUGUAAAGGGAGCGUGGACGGAGGUGCAAGCGAGAUGUAAAAGGCCGGGGCUAAACCCCCAGACUGCAUUUGGAACUGUGUUGCUAGAGUGUCGGAGGGGCAAGCGGAAUUCCUAGUGUAGGGGUGAAAUGCGUAGAUAUUAGAAGGAACACCAGUGGCGUAGGCAGGCUGCUGGGCGGGGACUGACGUUGAGGCUCGAAAGCGUAGGGAGCAAACGGGAUUAGAUACCCGGGUAGUC
rnacentral:rRNA from 1 species